rnacentral:rRNA from 1 species
UACGGAGGAUGCGAGCGUUAUCCGGAAUUAUUGGGUUUAAAGGGUGCGUAGGUUGCAAGGGAAGUCAGGGGUGAAAAGCUAUAGCUCAACUAUGGUCUUGCCUUUGAAACUCUCUAGCUAGAGUGUACUGGAGGUACGUGGAACGUGUGGUGUAGCGGUGAAAUGCAUAGAUAUCACACAGAACUCCGAUUGCGCAGGCAGCGUACUACAUUACAACUGACACUGAAGCACGAAAGCGUGGGUAUCCAACAGG